GGCGUUGAAGUAAGGCGUUGUGCUGGGAUGCAGUUCCUUACCUAGCCUUUCGGAGGGGUUGUGCAGUAAACCUCGACCCAGCGUAGGCGAAAGCCGAAAGAAAAUGCUCA
rnacentral:sRNA from 1 species